CCAGCGUAGUGUGUCUCCGUCAGCCACAGUAAUAUACAGUGAAACAGGUGAUAUGUCGGGAAGUAUUAACAACCAUUCUAUAGAACCUGAUGCUGUCACAGAUCAGUCUUCCAACCAGACAAACUGCUAUGUCAGCAGAAGAGUAUUUCGGGCAUGAUGACAUCCAGUUGGCCAUUGAAGAAAGUUUGUUAAGUAUUUGUUAUAGCUAGGAGAAAGACGGCUAACUGUUGAAGAAAUAGGUUGACAAAAAACUACAACCCUCAGAGCCACAAACAGUAGUUGUUCAAAGGGAGAGGCUGUUACAAAUGACAUUAAGAGUUGUUGGUAAAUCGACUUUCAACUGGUCACAGCCGCUGCGAAUAGUAUUAUCUGGUGAAGAUUGAGAUGACCAUGGAGGUCCAAAGAAAGAAUAUCUCUGGUUGCUGAGCAAAGCUGUUGCAGAGACAUCCUUGUGUGGCCCAAAGGGAAACAUGAUCUUCGUCCAUGAUGGUUGGUGAAAAGACUGAGCGCAUGACAUUUGAAAUGUAUGUUAAUUGACCAGGCCUACCGAUGAUCAACACCAUGCUGUACUCUUCCUGACUGACCAGGGCAUAA